GACGAACGCUGGCGGCGUGCCUAAUACAUGCAAGUCGAGCGGAAGUUGAAGAGCUUGCUCUUCAACUUUAGCGGCGGACGGGUGAGUAACACGUGGGCAACCUGCCCUGCAGAUCGGGAUAACUCCGGGAAACCGGUGCUAAUACCGAAUAGUUUUGGGUCCCUCCUGGGACCUAACGGAAAGACGGUUUCGGCUGUCACUGCAGGAUGGGCCCGCGGCGCAUUAGCUAGUCGGUGGGGUAACGGCCCACCAAGGCGACGAUGCGUAGCCGACCUGAGAGGGUGAUCGGCCACACUGGGACUGCGACACGGCCCAGACUCCUACGGAAGGCAGCAGUAGGGAAUCUUCCGCAAUGGACGCAAGUCUGACGGAGCAACGCCGCGUGAGUGAUGAAGGUUUUCGGAUCGUAAAACUCUGUUGCGAGGGAAGAAACCGUGCCAAUUAACUACUGGCACCUUGACGGUACCUCGCCAGAAAGCCACGGCUAACUACGUGCCAGCCGCCGCAGUAA
rnacentral:rRNA from 1 species